rnacentral:rRNA from 1 species
GACGAACGCUGGCGGCGUGCUUAACACAUGCAAGUCGAGCGGUAAGGCCCCUUCGGGGGUACGACGAGCGGCGAACGGGUGAGUAACACGUGGGUGACCUGCCCUCAGCUCUGGGAUAAGCCUGGGAAACUGGGUCUAAUACCGGAUAUGACUCCAUGACGCAUGUCGUGGGGUGGAAAGCCUUGUGCGGCUGGGGAUGGGCCCGCGGCCUAUCAGCUUGUUGGUGGGGUGAUGGCCUACCAAGGCGACGACGGGUAGCCGGCCUGAGAGGGCGACCGGCCACACUGGGACUGAGACACGGCCCAGACUCCUACGGGAGGCAGCAGUGGGGAAUCUUGCGCAAUGGGCGAAAGCCUGACGCAGCGACGCCGCGUGAGGGAUGACGGCCUGGUGU